UGCAGCCGAGUCAAAUUCGGGGCCCGCCGCACCCGUGGCAGGCCCCGGCUCCGCAGGCUGCCACAGAAUCACUGUGACUCAUGGGCCCUGAUCCCCUGCUGGGCCUCAGGGAUAAAUUUGGUCACAGACACCA